AUUGAACGCUGGCGGCAGGCCUAACACAUGCAAGUCGAGCGGAUGAAGAGAGCUUGCUCUCUGAUUUAGCGGCGGACGGGUGAGUAAUGCCUAGGAAUCUGCCUGGUAGUGGGGGAUAACGUUCCGAAAGGAACGCUAAUACCGCAUACGUCCUACGGGAGAAAGCAGGGGACCUUCGGGCCUUGCGCUAUCAGAUGAGCCUAGGUCGGAUUAACUAGUUGGUGAGGUAAUGGCUCACCAAGGCGACGAUCCGUAACUGGUCUGAGAGGAUGAUCAGUCACACUGGAACUGAGACACGGUCCAGACUCCUACGGGAGGCAGCAGUGGGGAAUAUUGGACAAUGGGCGAAAGCCUGAUUCAGCCAUGCCGCGUGUGUGAAGAAGGUCUUCGGAUUGUAAAGCACUUUAAGUUGGGAGGAAGGGCAGUAAGUUAAUACUCUGCAAUUUUGACGUUACCGACAGAAUAAGCACCGGCUAACUCUGUGCCAGCCGCCGCUGUAAUAC
rnacentral:rRNA from 1 species